GACAAACCGUGCAAACGUUAUUCGGAAUCACUGGGCUUAAAGCGCGUGUAGGCGGGACGGCACGUCGGUCGUUGAAAUCCCCCGGCUCAACCGGGGAAGGGGCGCCGAUACGACCGUCCUGGAGGGGCGUAGGGGGACCUGGAACUUCCGGUGGAGCGGUGAAAUGCGUUGAGAUCGGAAGGAACGCCCGUGGCGAAAGCGAGGUCCUGGACGCCUACUGACGCUGAUGCACGAAAGCUGGGGGAGCAAACAGG
rnacentral:rRNA from 1 species